CACGCCUCUGCCCUGGAGCAGCUGCUUCAUGCUGGGGCAGCACUCGGGCGGGGAGGGCUGUGCUUCGCCCCAGAGGGAGAGGCCUCAGAGGGCACGUCUGGAGUUAUGCGCCAUCUGGCUCCCUGGGCCUCAGGGUCUGGCCCCGAGGAGUCAAGGCAGACACGGUGAAGCCUCCCCGCCUUGGGAUUCCGCCCCACACCGGGCCAGCUCCUACCUGGCUGUACACUGUAGGGGCUGGCAAGGCUGGCCACAGCGAGCUCUGGCUUACCUAGGGCUUGGUUGAUCCCGUGAUGCUUUGAGAGGGCCACGAGGAACCCAUAGAAGCUUAGGGGGACGUCUAAAGCCAAGACGGAGGGCCCUGCCUGUCCUGGGAGCCCGAGGACCCCGGGCAGACGGCAGAUCUGCAGGAGCCCGGCCUCGCUGUGGACAGAAAGGCUGGCCUGUCCACCCACUGUCAAGGCCAAUCUCUCUCCUGGCAAGAAGGGGCCCAGGCAGGCCAUCUGCAGCUGCUCCUGCCCACGUGAGAGCAACCCUUCCUGUAAGCCGCCUGGGAAGCCUUUCAGCCAACAGCCUGGACUAGGGGCAAAUACCACUGGUCUAAUGUAUCCCGUGACCAUCAAGGGCCUAGAAACCCUGGGCCAGUCAAGACACCUGCUGGAGUUCUGUCCGGGCCAGCAGCCUGCAGCCCCGGGGGCCGAGGCGGGGCUGCGUGCCCAGUUCUCACCUGU